rnacentral:rRNA from 1 species
CCUACGGGAGGCAGCAGUGGGGAAUUUUGGACAAUGGGCGAAAGCCUGAUCCAGCAAUGCCGCGUGUGGGAAGAAGGCCUUCGGGUUGUAAACCACUUUUGUACGGAACGAAACGGUUCGCUUUAAUACAGUGGGCUAAUGACGGUACCGUAAGAAUAAGCACCGGCUAACUACGUGCCAGCAGCCGCGGUAAUACGUAGGGUGCGAGCGUUAAUCGGAAUUACUGGGCGUAAAGCGUGCGCAGGCGGUCAUAUAAGACAGUUGUGAAAUCCCCGGGCUCAACCUGGGAAUUGCAUCUGUGACUGUAUAGCUAGAGUACGGUAGAGGGGGAUGGAAUUCCGCGUGUAGCAGUGAAAUGCGUAGAUAUGCGGAGGAACACCGAUGGCGAAGGCAAUCCCCUGGACCUGUACUGACGCUCAUGCACGAAAGCGUGGGGAGCAAACAGGAUUAGAUACCCUGGUAGUCCACGCCCUAAACGAUGUCAACUGGUUGUUGGGUGCAUUAGUACUCAGUAACGAAGCUAACGCGUGAAGUUGACCGCCUGGGGAGUACGGCCGCAAGGUUGAACGUUCAAAGGAUUGACGG